GCCCGUCUCCAGGUCAGCUUGCUCCUGGGAGGCGAGCGCGAUGCGGUCGAGGGGCAGAGGCAGCUGCGACGGCCGGCUGCCCCGCCUAAUAGGGCCACUUCUUCUCCUCUCCCCUGACCUGGCCUGGGGAUGGCCUCUCCCGCCCAAGAUUCGCCUGACACCCCACACCCGGUGACAUUUUAGGUUAUUGGGUCAAAGAUUGCUGGCACACUCAUCCCUGUUCUCAAACAUCUUUUAAAUUUGGGUGAAGUGAUAAGUAGGGGAAGAUGAUUUACUGAAAGAGUCUCCCGAGAAGAGAUUCAGACUGAACAGCUUUGUGUCAGGCUUUGGAAGACCGCUGGUGCCCAAGGGGUUCUCUGACAGCACAAUGACGAAUCUAGGUCCCUCUUUCACUGCUACGUCAAUGAAGUGGACCGCUUGGACAAGGCCAAAGCUGGUAUCCCAACCAUAGCCCUUGACAGUGAUAUUCGGCUCCAGGAAGCCAUCAGAUGCAGCAGGUGGCCAGAGGAGGAGCCGAACAGGCUCAUGAAAUGUGACAUCCCCAAUUUCAUCAACACGGACCAGAACUCUUCCUUUGGGGAAGAUGAUUUCCUGAUUUUGGAACCACCAAUUGUUCUAGAAGAUAAGCCAGUUGCUCAGACCUCACACAAAGACUUGAAUUGAGAAAACGUGCUUUGUCAAGUGUCUUUCUGAAGAUGUGAAGUAUGUCUUUGUAUGGCAGGAAUUCCCCUUUCACGAAAUUGUUUGUGUUUGUGUCUGAAAGAGAGAAAUGGAGACAGACAGAAAGACGGAGACAGAAGAGCGCCCCCUCAGAAGAGAGCUAGUUAAAGAGGAGGAUCAAUCCAUGGUGCAUUUUAUGACAAUCCUGUCCCCAGGAAUGCACGGAAGGUUUUCAGCUGAGUAAGGGGAGGUGCCUCUGUGUCCCUGUGUCCCUGUAUCUCUGUCUGCUCACAGUGCCCUGACACUGGCUACUGAGCAAGAAA